UCGUGAGAAAAGAUUGUUUGUGUCAAGUUGCUGGUAAAAAUUCAACAGAGAAGGAGUUUUAGACGUAUUUUUAUGAAAAGUGUUUUUUUUUUCGGAGUUUUGGUCUGCUUUCAAUCAAGCCUGUGACCGUGUGUAACCGUGUGGGGUUUUAGGCUGCACCUAUCAUUGGCAUCAGCGUUUCGCAUCCGGAACAAGGACCAGUUUUGUCAAUUCCGCAUAUCCUCCAGACUGGUAUUCGCUGUCUCCUGCUGCAAGUCGAGCAGCAAGCGGUCCGUAUAACACAAGGCGACGCAUAACAAAAAUUUCAACUGCACUAUCCUAACACUCAACUUGUUUCUCCAGCCACUGCGGACGAUGUGCUUUCGGAUGCUGUUCGUUAUUGAUUGCUUCUCCCAAAAAACGACCGGUAUGCCGGCUAGAAAAAAGGAAAACCCGGAAGAAAGCUGCAGGUAUCCCUAUAACGUGGUCACAGGAUGUCGGAAAUGAUCGCUCUCAUCGGGGAUCUUCCUGAAUUGAAUUGUUUAGUUGCGUUAUGAUUGUUCAGAGUGCUAUUUGA